AUGAUUUAUGUGGAGUUCUUGCAACGUCUUUCUUCUGGCAUCAUGGUAGAUUGGGUAUUGAGGUUACUUCUCAAUCAAAUAUUGCUUACAUAUAUGAGGAAUUGUGCAUUGGAUGUGGUAUUUGUGUUAAGGUUACCGGUUCCAAGGUCGGUGCAAAUGCUUGAUUUGGUUGGGACAAAUGGAAUUGGAAAGUCCACCGCCCUCAAAGUUUUGGCUAGAAAGUUGAAUCCAAACUUGGGUCGUUUCACUAAUCCUACUGAUUGA